UACGAAGGAUGCAAGCGUUAUCCGGAUUUAUUGGGUUUAAAGGGUGCGUAGGCGGACUUGUAAGUCAGUGGUGAAAUCUCGUUGCUUAACAACGAGCGUGCCAUUGAUACUGUAGGUCUUGAGUACAGAUGCCGUUGGCGGAAUGUGUCAUGUAGCGGUGAAAUGCAUAGAUAUGACACAGAACACCGAUUGCGAAGGCAGCUGACGAAACUGUAACUGACGCUGAGGCACGAAAGCGUGGGGAUCAAACAGG
rnacentral:rRNA from 1 species